UAGUUGCAAUUCUCUGUAAGUCCCUUGGCUCUGGGCAAGGAAGGGGGGGAGCGGUGGCAAGGGGACAGGGGAGGGGCUAAGGAGGGGGAUCUCUUUGCCCCCUCACCCUCCCUCUCUGCCUUGUCUAGGCCCUGAGUGUCACCCCAGAAGGGGCUGAGGGAAUGUUGUGGGUUGGGACACACGGGGGAAGACGCAUACUGGAGGAAGCGAGAGACGUCGCCAGGGACCCAGGGCUCUCUCCUUCCAGUUCCCUGAGCCCCGCGGCCCCGCUGGCCACUCCCUCUAUAGCGCCCAACCUGCCCCGGGCAGCCUGACCCGGUAACCCGAUCGCUCCUCUCUCCGGAUCACUGCUGCGGCCCCCACUUUGGGGCACAUGCACCCGAGUCCUGCUUCCCAGGGCGAGCUCUGAAUCAGGCGCCUGCGCUCUCCAGGGCGCCCUCCCCACCCCGACGGUGGAGUUUGCGCCCCUCCUGAGACAGUUUGAGAGAAGGACAAACUUUUGAGUGGAGAAAAAUGAAGAGGAGCCCACCCGGAGCAGGACUGAUUACACAUGUUGAAAACCCCGGCCAGGUCCUGAACCUGCUCACCCAACAAGCUCUCAGAAACGCUUGGAGAUCCCCGAAGGGCUUUCGCGGGGGAAGCGGGAGAAGCACUAGCCGAAAAUAGUAGUUUUCAACUCUGCGGGGAAAGGAGCGGGGUAUCGCCACAGAGCCUCAGCCCGGGACCUUCUACAGCCCCUGCUGCCCCGGGAUCUUCUGCUGAUUUUAAGUUAGGAGUGACAUAAGAGAAGAAACAACUCCCAAAUUUCUUCCUCUUCUUUUCCUUUUAAUUCCAAUUUGACUCAGAGACCCAUUUCCCUAAAUUGGAAUCAAGGGAGGUCUCCUCCCCACCCCCCAGCACAACCACCUCCCUACUUUCUCCAGCUCACGCAGGAAGGCAGGGAAAAGAGCCUCCUACCCCCCCUACCCCAUGCCCCCACCCCGUCUCGUGGCUGAGAUAACCCACCCCAACCUCAAAGAGAAGUCCUGGGAGGAAGAAACGGAGGAGGCUCUUCAAAAGGGAGUCAAGGACAAAGGGUGGGUUCAGAGGGCUUGACUGAACUUGGGGGCCCCAGGUGGAAAGCUGGGGGAGCGGGCACGCCAGGGAACCGGGGCUGGCCUGCAUGGUCUGGGAAAGAGGGCGAGCAUGCAGGCCGCGGCAGGUGCACUGGCAGAGCCAGGGGAAAUCUGGAGUCCCGUGGGGUUCCCGAAAGGGGAGGCCUGGCAUGGGUGGAGGGUCUCUGUAGCGCCUGAGGUUUGCGGAUCUGACUUGGGGAGCGGGACAGAAGGCAGCCGUUGCACUUGGACCACUUCUCAGAAGGACCGGGAGGGGCAGUGGAUCCCAGGAGGGAAAAUUCCCACAGUGAUCGCCUGGUGUUUCUGGCCUGCAUCUCAGAAGCGCCCAAAUCACGCAGGCCUUUGUUUUCCCUGCAAAUAAUCCAGGGGCUGGCCUGGCACCUGCUCGUGAGGGAGAUCUGCAACUGGGCCCACCUAGCUGAGAGGUCCAGGAGGGCCCCAGGCGGCACUGCCUAGCGGUCUCUGGGAGCAUGGGCCUUGGGAGGGACAUGUCCAGAGGCAGGCGUGAAGGCAACUGACACUCAAAUCUACACCCUUUUCUUUCCUCGCAUCCUGUGGCCCUGUGCACCUCUCCAGCGCAGAGGAGUUGGAUGGAAGAGGUCGUCCUGCCCCAAUCCCCAAAUUAACACGGGAGCCCGCUGGGGCUUCUUUUGUGGGCCCCCCCCCCCAGCUCUGGGUGCACGAAGAGCGGGCCCCUGGCUCUGGACUUCGCCUCUCCCUCUUUGAUGAAUCCAGUCUUUUUUGCCCCCAACUCCCCAACACGCACCCCCCCCACACACACACACACAUACACUUUGUGGAGCUGUCUCUCUUUUACUCUUUUCUUCUCUUCCUCUUUCCCUUUUACUAGGAUUGAUGGAGUGACAACAGUUUGGCAAGCGUCCCCUAAGCCUGUAGUGGGCAGCUGUGGACCCAGCCCUGACUUCUCAACUAGGGAGGAACAGCCUCAUUCCUGGGCCCUUGAAAUUGACCCCUACGUGGAGGGAAGUUGAGAGAGAAUGGCAUGAAGGUGGCUAGGCUGACAAAGGACAGAAGCCCUGAUCUGGGGAGGGGGCAGUUUUACGCCAUAUGCCUGUUGCAGAGAGAGAAUUUAGAAACAAAAGGAGAUGGAAAGGAGGUCGGGGAAACAGCACAAAGGACUGAAAAAUCAAGAGCAACAAAGAGAAAAGACUGGUGAGGGAAGAAAAUACUUGAGAAUGCCCCAGUGCUGGGGGCAGAGAAAGGGACCCAGGAGGGAGGCAGGGGAGACAGAUGAAAUAGAGGAAUAUUGAUAAAGGACAGAAUGAAGCAGCAAGAUUAGUUUGUUGUAUGAGAGAAAAAAGCAGAAAGGAAGGAAAGAGAGAGAAAGAAAAGAAAAGAAAAAGAAAGAGAAAGAAGAAAAGAAAGAAGGAAAAUAGGAAAAGAAAAAGUAAAUGAAGGGGAGAAAGAGAGAGAUGGGUGGGAAAGGAGGAAAGCUAGGAAUAAAGAAGGAAGGAAAAGUAAAGGAAGGGAAGACUAGAGAGAAAAAAAGUGGAGGGAGGACAGGAAGAAAGCAAACGAAGGAAGGAAAAAUGAGAGAUAAAUAUAGAGAGAGGGAAAAAAAGAAAGAAAACAAGGAGGGAACCGGGUUAACAGAAAAGGGGUCCAGACUCCUGAGGAGCAGCGGGAGGGAAGGAGCCAGGAGGAGGGUUAGUGGAGGCUUCAGCAGGGGCUCCCAAGUACCCAGGCUGUGCGGACCCUGGCCUCCCACCACAGCCCCACUGCCCCCGCCCCGCCCCAGUGCCCACCCCAGGCGGCUGCAGCCGGCACCACAGGGGAGGUGGAGGCAGAGGCCAGCCUCUUGAGACUCGCUUCUCCCUGACGUUGCCCAAGCAGCUGAAGAAGUAGCCGAUAGAGUAGCAGGAGUUCCUCCGGCACUCACACCUGCCCGAAGUGGGCCUUAAGGCUCCGCAGGUCAAGAACUGGUUCCAGAAGCAGUGUUAGAAGCAGAAGGAACAGUUUAGAGAGGGGCGGAUCUCUCAUCCCACCCUGGCUCAGUCUCCUGAGCUGCCUCCCCUCUGACCCUGCUGGCCGAGGCUGUCUGUGGACCGGGCCGCUUUGUACUGCCAUGCUCUGGCUCUGCGAUCUUGGCCCUCGGUUGGGUCUCUCUGUCAAAUGAGCCCUUUGCACUGGAGGGUUCUUGUGUCACUUUGGUUAGCCCGCCUGUAUAUGUGCAGGUGAGAGAGGGGUGAAGAUAAGGCCUGGUCCAUUCUGGGAAGGGCAUCUUCAUUUUCUUCUUUGGUGAGAAGGAAAAUCUUCCUCCUUUGCCAUCUUUAUCACCAUCCCUGGCUCAGAAAACUACCUUCCAGAACAGGGGAUUUCUCCAGGCCAGAAGCGGUUGAAUUAAUCUGUAAAGGGUUUGGUGUGAGGUUUGCAGAUGCUAGAGGAGCCAGAGGAAACAUCUUACUCUGGGAAGAGACUGAGGACAUGCCUUCCUAGAGCAAGCGGACGUUAGGUCUGCAGUGUAUUUCACACACACACACAGUUUAGUUGGCAAAAUGGCUUUAGAGUCAGCCUGUGGAGAUUAAGCGGAGGUGGCUGUAUGUCUGCAGCCUCCUGGGCCGGUGCUCCCACACCCUGUCCGUGUGCUCCAGCGGCAACCGCUCAGUUAAACCCAGUUAGAUGACUCCUUUGUUUCCCCAAAGUGGGUUGGAGCAGGUCACGGAGGUCAGCAUGUCUUCCAAGGGCAGCGUAAGCCUUGAGGGUGGGCUGGAGGACCCUGAAACCAGCGGCUGGAAAACCGCGUCCCCAGUAAUCUUUGCAGUACAUCUCAGGGAGGCCCCCGCCUGGUACUUCCAGCGUGGAUUUUAGCUUUUCUCCCGUUUCUCAAGCUGCCUCUUUCCUUCCUUUAUCUUUCUUUCUCCACCCCCACCCUCCACCUCUUGCUCCCUUCCUUCCUUCUCCUUGUUCUUUCCUUGUCUGUCUCUCGCUCUCUUUCCCUUUUCAUCUAGUCCAGGCUGCGGCUCCGGUACUGCCUUCGCACCCAAAGGCUUUGCUCUGAGAUCUUCAGAUAAGUGAAAACGUGCCUUGUCCUCAGGAGUUCAUUACCUGGAUACAAAUAUGGGGAUUGGAAGGUGAGAGGCAAAAUGGGGAGUAAGCUUUGCUGAUCGAGUACCGGGUGAAUCAACUCAUUUUCUGUAUCAAUCACGGUUAAUGCCGUCACAUCCCUGUGGCUUACCCCAGAAACCCUUCCCCAUCUCGCCCUACUGCAGGCCACAGUCAGUCUGCCUCUGCUCAUAGGGAUGGCAUUACUGGUGCCCCCAAGGUCGUUGCUCUCCUGGAGUGACUGAGGGCCUACAAUGAGAGCUCACCUCGGUGCAGGUGGGAUGAGGUCAAUGAUGCCAGGUCAGAGCCUCAAACUGUUAAAUAAGCAAAGCCUAUUUCCCUAUUCCCAAUGGGGUCCUUUAGGGGUCCUUUUUCCCUUGGAUGGAGAAGCUGGUGGAUUCUGGCUCUUGACCAUCUCUCUAAGGAGUGCCCCUGAUUAGCUGGGCCCACCUCCACCCCCCAUCUGCUCAGCAUAGAAGGGAGGCCACUCACUCCAGGCCUUGGAGGGGAUGCAGACUGUCUGCCCAGAGCAGCUUCCUGACCCCAUCCUGGCCCCUGCUGGGAAGGAGGGAACCCAAUUCACAGGACCCGGAAUCUCGAAACUCCACACAGACGAGCCGACCGCUGGGGCUGUAUCCUGGAGCCUGAUGCCGGAAGCAGCUUCUGCCUUUGGCUUCUCCUUGCUGCCUCAGCCUCUGCUCUGUUCAGCUGGCUAUUGUGUUUUUCUCUCUCUCAUUUAGGGGUGUUGGGGACAGGGAAGUGAAAUGUUUCUCUUCAUGCCCCUAGUCCUUCCCCAUGCCCCCACCAAACCUCAAAGCUGCAGAUAAUAAUGGACUGCAGCUUCCCGCCCUGCUCAGAAGCUACUCAAAGAGAAUUCAGAUUCUCUUCUGGGCAGGAGGAAGGACAGAUGCUCCUUCCUCAAUCCUCCCUUGCUCAUUGAUCCAUUUGAAGGGCAUGUGUGGGUCAAGAUUGAGACUGGAUGGCUUCAGUUGGUAUAAAAUUAGCAUUUUUAUCACACCAAAGGCUGAGAUUUCUCAAAUCAAGGAAUAGGAGGGUUUCCGCCGGACCCAUGCCUUUUCUCUGGCCUCUCAAACCACUAAUGGUGUAAAGGUUUGUUGAAGUGGAGGAAGAGAAGGGAAAUGAGCAGUUUGCUCUAUCGAGAAAUCAGUAGCCAGCAGGAGGGUAUAGCUCAGUGGUAGAGUGUGUGCCUAGCAGGCAGGAGGUCAUGGGUUCAAUCCCCAGUACCUCCAUUAAAAUAAAUAAAUAAAUAAACAAACAAACAAACAAAUAAAUCUAAUUACCUCUCCAGCCCCCUCAAAUAAAAUCAAUUUAAAAAUUAAGAAGUCAGUAGCUUCCACUGUUCAUUCCACUGAUGUUUAUUUAGUACCUGCUAUGUGCAAACACUGUCCCUACCUCAGUUUGUCAUGACGAUCAGUAAUGAGAUUUUUGCUUCAGUGUGUGUGGACAAAUAUAUGUAAAUAAACAAAUCAAUGGAAAAGAAA